UUUAGUCACUACAGUGUUAUAAAGUGAGUGUAAUUCUACCCCCGCUGCGCCGAUUCUCCAACCAAUCUCCCGCUCUAUUGUCCCCUCACUCGCGAACAGGAGCCCAACGUAUUUGAAGUCCUUC